rnacentral:lncRNA from 1 species
GAAAAUUGAAGUUUUAAAGACAUACUCGAAUUCAAAAUUUGGACUCUUUUUAAUCAUGUCUUCAUAUCCUAUAUUUCUAACAUUUAGAUACGUAUCCGUACCUGAUAUUCAUACCCUAGUCCGAGCAUCAUACCUCUCAUGCUAUAAACUUUCAUGACCAUUUACCUUUUUUGGUUUUAUCACUCCUAAAUGUAUAUAGGCAGUACUGUAGAAGCUACAAUGUUAGUGAUUAACAUUAAGAAAUUAGUAUAUUUAGGAAUCAUGGAAAAUACCACCUCUAUGAUAUAGUGCUUGCAGGCAUUUUUGGUUCUUAAAUUAUUUAUUUUGUUCAAAUUUUAACUUCAUAGCUUAAAUGAUUGUCACUUUGAUGUUUAGUGAUAGAGAUCUCUAAAAAUCCCCUGGCAUAAAGUAUUUUAAUGCUGUAGCAUUGAUUGUUUUAUUCUUAGCAUCAUACCUCUCAUGCUAUAAACUUUCAUGACCAUUUUCCUUUUUUGGUUUUAUCACUCCUAAAUGUAUAUAGGCAGUACUGUAGAAGCUACAAUGUUAGUGAUUAACAUUAAGAAAUUAGUAUAUUUAGGAAUCGUGGAAAAUACCACCUCUAUGAUAUAAGUGCUUGCAGGCAUUUUUGGUUCUUAAAUUAUUUAUUUUGUUCAAAUUUUAACUUCAUAGCUUAAAUGAUUGUCACUUUGAUGUUUAGUGAUAGAGAUCUCUAAAAAUCCCCUGGCAUAAAGUAUUUUAAUGCUGUAGCAUUGAUUGUUUUAUUCUUUCGUCUGAUCAGCCACAUUUACAUUAUCUGAUUGAUUGAUAUGAUUAAAGUAAUUGCUGAAGUACUAUCAUAGUUAAAAAAAUACCCAAGGAUUGCGUAAUAGCUGG